UGGGGAAUAUUGCACAAUGGGCGCAAGCCUGAUGCAGCCAUGCCGCGUGUGUGAAGAAGGCCUUCGGGUUGUAAAGCACUUUCAGCGGGGAGGAAGGCGAUAAGGUUAAUAACCUUGUCGAGUGACGUUACCCGCAGAAGAAGCACCGGCUAACUCCGUGCCAGCAGCCGCGGUAAUACGGAGGGUGCAAGCGUUAAUCGGAAUUACUGGGCGUAAAGCGCACGCAGGCGGUCUGUCAAGUCGGAUGUGAAAUCCCCGGGCUCAACCUGGGAACUGCAUUCGAAACUGGCAGGCUAGAGUCUUGGAGAGGGGGGUAGAAUUCCAGGUGUAGCGGUGAAAUGCGUAGAGAUCUGGGGGAAUACCGGUGGCGAAGGCGGCCCCCUGGACAAAGACUGACGCUCAGGUGCGAAAGCGUGGGGAGCAAACAGG
rnacentral:rRNA from 1 species